rnacentral:ncRNA from 1 species
GGCACCUGUACACGUUGCGGUGCAACGAUAGUAAAAGA